rnacentral:rRNA from 1 species
GAUGAACGCUAGCGGCAGGCUUAACACAUGCAAGUCGAGGGGUAUAGGUUUUCGGACCUAGAGACCGGCGCACGGGUGCGUAACGCGUAUGCAAUCUACCUUUUACAGAGGGAUAGCCCAGAGAAAUUUGGAUUAAUACCUCGUAGUAUUAUGAAUCGGCAUCGGUUUAUAAUUAAAGUUCCAACGGUAAAAGAUGAGCAUGCGUCCCAUUAGCUAGAUGGUAAGGUAACGGCUUACCAUGGCGACGAUGGGUAGGGGUCCUGAGAGGGAGAUCCCCCACACUGGUACUGAGACACGGACCAGACUCCUACGGGAGGCAGCAGUGAGGAAUAUUGGUCAAUGGACGCAAGUCUGAACCAGCCAUGCCGCGUGCAGGAUGACGGUCCUAUGGAUUGUAAACUGCUUUUGUACGAGAAGAAACACUCCUUCGUGAAGGAGCUUGACGGUAUCGUAAGAAUAAGGAUCGGCUAACUCCGUGCCAGCCGCCGCGGUAA